CAAGUCCUCAUGGCCCUUAUGCCUAGGGCUGCACACGUCCUACAAUGGCACACACAAAGGGACGCAAAAUCGCGAGAUCAAGCAAAUCCCAAAAAAUGUGCCCCAGUUCGGAUUGGAGUCUGCAAUUCGACUCCAUGAAGUCGGAAUCGCUAGUAAUCGCAGGUCAGCAUACUGCGGUGAACUNUCCGUUCCUGNGCCUU
rnacentral:rRNA from 1 species